rnacentral:rRNA from 1 species
AACGAACGCUGGCGGCAUGCCUAACACAUGCAAGUCGAACGGUAACGACGGAAGCUUGCUUCCGGGCGACGAGUGGCGGACGGGUGAGUAACACUUAGGAAUCUGCCCAGUAGUGGGGGACAACCAGGAGAAAUCCUGGCUAAUACCGCAUACGCACUACGGUGGAAAGUGGGGGACCUUCGGGCCUCACGCUAUUGGAUGAGCCUAAGUCGGAUUAGCUUGUUGGUGAGGUAAAGGCUCACCAAGGCGACGAUCCGUAGCUGGUCUGAGAGGACGAUCAGCCACACUGGGACUGAGACACGGCCCAGACUCCUACGGGAGGCAGCAGUGGGGAAUAUUGGACAAUGGGGGCAACCCUGAUCCAGCAAUGCCGCGUGUGUGAAGAAGGCCUGCGGGUUGUAAAGCACUUUCAGUAGAGAAGAAAAGCCUAGGGUUAAUACCCCUGAGUCUUGACGUAACCUACAGAAGAAGCACCGGCUAACUCCGUG